GGGAGCGUGGCGGAAUUGGCAUACGCAGCGGACUUAAAAUCCGCCGCCCUUGGGCUUGUGGGUUCGAGUCCCACCGCUCCUA
rnacentral:tRNA from 1 species